UAACUGAACUUUUAUAUCACUCACAUUGCAAAUCAUUUGCACGAAAUGCUCAAUGGACUGGGUUAAGUUUACAAAACGUCUGCCUAUUUCUCACACAAAAAAUUCCCGUCUGUGGAUGUGAAGUUCGUCAAUAAGUUGGCAUUGUGACGAAAGUGGCACUCCCAUUCACCUCGUAGUCUACUUCGGACGUUCAUUGAGGGUGGCUACACACUUCAUGCAGUGAACAAACUUGAGAUUGCAUCAUUCGAUUAGCUUCCCGACGUUACCCAGGUCGCCAAGUCAAACAGUAGUGAACAAAAGGGAGCGAUCCAUUGGCCUUCUCGUGUGAUUUGUGGGAGAGAGCGGAAAGAUCAAAGAUCACUGACCCAGAUAGAGACAAACAUCGUUUCUAUUAUUCCCGACGGACACAAAGUUCACUGUAGUCUUCAGCAAAGUGCGGGAAUUUCAACUGAUCAUGCGGAUAGAAUCGUGCUUAUUUGCCUUAAUCAUUGGUGCAAUACCUUUGAUUUUUGCAUCACAUGACACACUGAGACUUGGAUGCCAGGGUGCCACAGAAUCAUCAAAGGAAACAGAACAACUGGAAAUAUUUUUUUUGGUGGUUUCCAUCGCUAUUAGCGCUAUUUGUGACCCAGUUUCAUUGCCGUUAGGUAUUCUGGGUUUCUUCAUAUCAUUUCUGGCGUCGAUGUAUAAGUGUUCUGACCAUUGUCACACCAUUACAUGGACAUGUCGUGGUUACUGUCAACUGUUUUUAAGCUGUACUUCGAUUGUACAUGCUGUUAUCGAGAUAAUCAUGGCAUGUUGUAAAGUUGUUUAGGUAUCAUCGAUAAGCUCCCUAAUGGUUUGCUGUAGAAAUAACUAUUGGUGUUCACUUUUUAGAUCUCCAUAAGGUGUCAACAAUAAUUAUGAUCCGUGUCCCAUGAUUAAGUCAAAAUAAACCAACAACUCUUAUCAGAGCCGACAACAACCUUCUUCCGGGAAAAUAGUAAUGUAACAUAAUGAUGUAAACCUCAAAAUCUUGACAAUCCGAACCCCUGGAAUCUUGGUGUAGCAGAAAGGUAACAGUUAUGAUCCUCUAGAGACAUUAACCUCUCCUGCAGCAUGCAUGUUCAAUGAUGUUAUCCGAUAAGUUUGUAAAAUACCCACAAUUGAGUAACAUUUUGUUUGUACUUUGUGUAUGGAGCUUGUUUCAUGUUUAGAAUGGAAUAGACAUACACUACAAAUCUUGGUAAUGUAUUUCUAUAUGCCUUCAUGCUAAUGGCAGUGGACACUAUCGGUAAUUACUCAAAAUAUUUAUUAUCAUAAAACCUUACUUGAUGACGAGUAAUGGG